UACGAAGGGUGCAAGCGUUAAUCGGAAUUACUGGGCGUAAAGCGCACGUAGGUGGUUCAGUAAGUUGGAUGUGAAAUCCCCGGGCUCAACCUGGGAACUGCAUCCAAAACUGCUGAGCUAGAGUACGGUAGAGGGUGGUGGAAUUUCCUGUGUAGCGGUGAAAUGCGUAGAUAUAGGAAGGAACACCAGUGGCGAAGGCGACCACCUGGACUGAUACUGACACUGAGGUGCGAAAGCGUGGGGAGCAAACAGG
rnacentral:rRNA from 1 species